rnacentral:rRNA from 1 species
CCUACGGGCGGCAGCAGUGAGGAAUAUUGGUCAAUGGGCGCGAGCCUGAACCAGCCAAGUAGCGUGAAGGAUGACUGCCCUACGGGUUGUAAACUUCUUUUAUAAAGGAGUAACGUGAGGCACGUGUGCCUUUUUGUAUGUACUUUAUGAAUAAGGAUCGGCUAACCCCUUGCCAGCCGCCGCGGUAAUACGGAGGAUCCGGGCGUUAUCCGGAUUUAAUGGGGUUAAAGGGUGCGUAGGUGGUUAAUUAAGUCAGGGGUGAAAGUUUGUGGCUCAACCAUAAAAUUGCCGUUGAAACUGGUUGACUUGAGUAUAUGUGAGGUAGGCGGAAUGCGUGGUGUAGCGGUGAAAUGCAUAGAUAUCACGCAGAACUCCGAUUGCGAAGGCAGCUUACUAAACUAUAACUGACACUGAAGCUCGAAAGCGUGGGUAGCAAACAGGAUUAGAUACCCGAGUAGUC